CACAGAAUUUCAACCAGAUGGAGCUAAUCUGCCUUCAGAAGUUGGAUUUUAAAGGCAUUGUUUCUGUUUUAACAUUAUUGCCAUAAUUGAAAAGUAAUUGAACAAAAUACAAAAAGUUUUUACUAACAUCUUUCUGUGGGAAAACAUGAUCAGAAUUAAAUAGUACCAUGAAAUUAUCUCAAAAUAAAAAAUAUUAUCGAUUUCACUGAAAAAAGUUUAAUUUCAGGUGACUGAACAACACAAGUGUGACUCCCACAGGAACAACACCAGAGGGUUAAGAGAACAGCUGAUUCAAACUCUUGAAAUCAGGCCCCUGCAGCCGCUUACAGAGCUAGAUAAUGGCAAUGUUAAAUAAAACAAAUGUGCAAGUGUUGUGACUGUUUUAAUGAACUGAGAGAAGCAGACAUCUUGGUAAUGAUUCAUGUACGAUUAAUCAUGCAGCCCUAUAUUUUAAUCACAAGCAGAUGGUUGUCAUGCUAAUAAGAGGAGCAAUGUGAAGAUAGUGUAUAGUCUAAUGAGCUCUUGCUCUUGCUGCAUGAAGAUGUUUGUCUGGGGGUGUAAGAGUGCUCUCGUGUGUCUCACGCAGUUCAGUGUUGUGUUACUGUUACACAUGAAAGAUUAGCACACAGACAGAACGGGAGCUGUUCAUCGUCUUACCGUUGUGUUAAAGUAACUACAUCCAAUACCAAUAUUCUUUAUUUGAUGUGGUGUGUCCUACCCUCCACACAGAGAGCACAGAACAGCACUGAAACCCUGACUGUCUGUGAGCCCUGUACGGAGAGGACAGGACAGAAGCGCGUGAGCUGUGAGCGAGGGUCCGGCUCAGACACACUCGUGUCACACACUGAACCGCACAUGAUGAUUGAGCGCUCGUUUGAAUGAGUGUUUGCUUUCCUCCAUCAGGUCUGUCUUUUGGAUUUAACUCUGCAGCUGGGCUUUCUUUUGGAGAACUGGCAAAGGCUUCAGGUGAAUUAGCAUUUUGCAAAAAAGAUGAUAAUUUCACGUGGUCAAACACCGGAGCCCCAGUCUUUGGAAGCGCAGCGGCACAAACUGAAGGAGAAAAGACUCGCGGUGAAGCAGAAGAGGAGGGCAGUGAU
ensembl:lncRNA